rnacentral:rRNA from 1 species
AGUGGGGAAUAUUGGACAAUGGGGGCAACCCUGAUCCAGCCAUGCCGCGUGAGUGAUGAAGGCCUUAGGGUUGUAAAGCUCUUUUACCCGGGACGAUAAUGACUGUACCGGGAGAAUAAGCCCCGGCUAACUUCGUGCCAGCAGCCGCGGUAAUACGAAGGGGGCUAGCGUUGCUCGGAAUCACUGGGCGUAAAGCGCACGUAGGCGGAUCCUUAAGUCAGAGGUGAAAUCCCAAGGCUCAACCUUGGAACGGCCUUUGAUACUGGGGAUCUCGAGUCCGGAAGAGGUUGGUGGAACUGCGAGUGUAGAGGUGAAAUUCGUAGAUAUUCGCAAGAACACCAGUGGCGAAGGCGGCCAACUGGUCCGGCACUGACGCUGAGGUGCGAAAGCGUGGGGAGCAAA